rnacentral:rRNA from 1 species
CCUACGGGAGGCAGCAGUGAGGAAUAUUGGUCAAUGGGCUUACGCCUGAACCAGCCAAGUCGCGUGAGGGAAGACUGCCCUAUGGGUUGUAAACCUCUUUUGUCAGGGAGCAACGCCGGCUACGUGUAGCCGGACUGAGAGUACCUGAAGAAAAAGCAUCGGCUAACUCCGUGCCAGCAGCCGCGGUAAUACGGAGGAUGCGAGCGUUAUCCGGAUUUAUUGGGUUUAAAGGGUGCGUAGGCGGAAUGCCAAGUCAGCGGUAAAAGCGCGGGGCUCAACCUCGCUCCGCCGUUGAAACUGGCGUUCUUGAGUGGGCGAGAAGUAUGCGGAAUGCGUGGGGUAGCGGUGAAAUGCAUAGAUAUCACGCAGAACUCCGAUUGCGAAGGCAGCAUACCGGCGCCCAACUGACGCUGAAGCACGAAAGCGUGGGUAUCGAACAGGAUUAGAUACCCCGGUAGUC